CGCUAUCUGGCUUUCCAAGCUACUCCGAGGCGGGGAGUGUAGGAGUCCUGCUGGUCUAGUGUUAGCCAAACUGCGCGGUUGCUUAGCAACGCCGCCGGAAGUGACGGGGGCGCCACCGAGGAACGGUGAACGCACUGCAGUCCGCCUUGGGGCUAGCGAACCCCGGAUGCGCCUGCGCAGGAAGUCGAGGCUCAGCGUGCGGGUGGGGUGCCCCUCGCGGGCAGGCACAGGAACAAGGUCGGAGGGCAGAGUCCGCGGAAGCGGCUCGGAGGCCAGGACGGCUGCCGACGUCUGGGUUGGCGAGGAGCCCUGGGGACCCGGCCCGGCCGGGUGCUCCCAGCCUCAUCCAACGCGAUCCUCACAGGAGAUGACCCCCAACGAGGUGCCUGCACCUACGUUCGGGGCGAGCCGGCAGGUUUUCUAUCAGAGGUACCACCAUAAUAAUGCUGGUAAGUAUGAAAAGAUUAAUAAAAUAUUUGUUGACAGAAACUAGCUUUUGCACAUACAGCGUUGGUGGCGUUGGUGGUUUUUUUGGAAGCAUAGUUGUAAAAAUGUCAAGAACUCGGAAGAGUGAGAGAUUUUAUCCUACUUGCGCGCUAACAACUUAGCCUGCGACAGUUUUGUAGAAGACAUAGACCCCUAGAGCACAGAUGAAUUACUUACAGCGGUGGCAGUAGCCAGAAUAUUAGCACUGUUGCCCCACUUGCCACAGGGUGAUGCAAAGAGGCAGAAGUCGCCUGCACUUGGAGUGUGUUGCAUUACAGGACUGGAACCCUGAGCUUAGGGAACCAUAAUGUUUAUUAUAGUGAACAUUAAGCAUGCCUUUCAAGGCUGUUCAGUAUAUAUACAUUUUUGACAGCACAGCCCAGAGCAUAGAGUGCUGAAUGCCUUGCUUGUAAGGCAUCUAGAAACAGUAGAGACCCAUAGAGGAUUGCCUCCCAACAAAAAUUCUCUCGAAUUUUAACUCAAUAAGUUAUAGAAAGUAUUGAAUCAUAUAAAAUUUAGUGUCAGUAAUUUGCCUGUUUGACAUGAUAGUCUGAUAUCAUUUGACUUCCUACACCUGGUUCAACUAACUCAUGGAUAUUUACAGCUAAGUCUAUCUAGAGUUAGUUACUUAUCUGCUGACCUCCACUCUUUUGUUGUUGUUGUUAUGAAAUUAAGGUAUUAUUUGCACUCUGAUCUGAAACAGUUUAAAUUAUUCUGGGGAAAAAAUUAUUACAAAACCAGUGUAGAAAAAGAAUGCACUGAAGUUGAGGCACCCAUGAUCUUACCAUUGUACACAUAGGCUUUUUUAACUUUUUUAAACAAAAAUGGGACUAUACUACUGUAUACACUGUUUAGUGACUUGUUUAAUUUGAACUGAACAUCUUAGCUUUUACUGGCUAAAUAAAUACUCCAUUAUCUGGCUAUCAUAUCUUAUUUAAACAGUCCCCAAUUCUCAGAUAUCUAUGUAGUUUCCAGUUUUCAUUAUUGUUAAAGACACAUAGGCUAUUGUUAAUCACUGGAAACAUUGCAGAUAUACCAAAUAUAUCCUGUUCAUGCUUUUGGAGAGAAUAAUCAAUAACUGCCUUUGGAAUUUUAACAAAUUGUAUUCAAAAUAGAUUCAUAUUCUUUUUUUUAAAUUUUUUAGUGUUUAUUAUUUUUGAGAGACAGACAGAACACAAGUGGGGAGGGGCAGAGAGAGAGGGAGACACAGAAUCUGAAGCAGGCUCCAGGGCUCGAAUCCACGAACCUUGAGAUCAUGACCUGAACGAAGUCAGAUGCUUAACUGACUGAACCACCCAGGAGCCCCAAAAUAGAUUCACAUUCUUAAAACUAAAUUUUGGUGCACAUCCUUAAGUUUUGGAGACAUUUCUAUUAAAGUAUAGCACUAAUCUUUGAAAGUUUAUUGACAACAGAAUGUGGUACUUGUCUAUUAUUUAACAAGUAAAAAGAAAUGAUGAAAUCUGGAAAUCUCAGCAUAAUCAGCCUAACAAUUGUGUUUAUAUCCACUGGAUAAAAAUCUAUAUUCACAUAACAUUUCCUGUUUUAUAUUUAAGGUUUUUGUUUAAUCAAAAUUUUGUUUCUCCUAUUUCUAAUAGGUGACUUUCUGAUAUAAGAGAAAACAGCAUAGUUAGAAAACAUAAAUUUAGGGGCGCCUGGGUGGCUCAGUCGGUUAAGCGUCCGACUUCAGCUCAGGUCAUGAUCUCGCGGUUCGUGAGUUCGAGCCCCGCAUCAGGCUCUGUGCUGAUGGCUCAGAGCCUGGAGCCUGUUUCAGGUUCUGUGUCUUCCUCUCUCUGUGACCCUCCCCCGUUCAUGCUCUGUCUCUCUCUGUCUCAAAAAUAAAUAAAAACGUUAAAAAAAAUUUUUUUUUUAAAAGAAAACAUAAAUUUAAAAAUACCUUAAAUACUUUUAUUAAUUUUAGGAGUUAAGAAGUCUCUGUUUUUUGCUCCAAACCAGAAGACUUUGUUCCCUGCAUAUAGAGUAGGGGUACUGUUGGUUAGAAACUGGCUGGUGUUUAAAACUGAAGAUUGUCAUGACUAUUUAACCUAAGCUCUAUUCUGAACUAAAAUUAAUUGUCUUGGAAAUACUAAGUCAAGUAAGUAUUUUUAAUAAAAGUUUAUGUUGAGUGGUGACAAGAAACUAAUAGAGGGGCUCCUGGAUGGCUCAGUCAGUUAAGUGUCUGACUUUAGCUCAGGUCAUGAUCUCACAGUUCGUGGGUUCAAGCCCUGUGUCAGGCCCUGCACUGACAGUGCAAAGCCUGCUUAGGAUUCUGUCUCUCCCUCUCUCUGCCCCUCUCUGAUUUGUGCUUUCUCUUUCUCUCAGAAUAAAUAAAUAAACUUAAAAAAAAAAAAAAACUAAUAGAAAAAGAUCUGAAAUUAAGAAAAGUACACCUUCAGGUAGAAAUUAAUAGUCAACAGCAGAACUAUCUUAACUUCAAGUUUAUGAUAUAUCUUAUUACUUUGAGGUUAAUAGUUCAGGAAUUUAGGUUACUUGUGGCUGAUUAAAUCUAGGGUUGAGACAGUUUUCAACCAAUGAGUUACAUUUGAAUAUUUUUAAAAAUUAUAAACUCAGAAUGCUUGAAAAGCAUGUUUAAUUUAAAGUGUGCCUGGAGUGUAGUACUAAUGUGUUUGUCCACUCUGCCUUAUUGCUGUUUAUUAUGUUGUUUCUGUGAGAGAGUGAAUUCUGCACUUAAAUCCCUGGCAGCCAAUCAGAGAUACCUGGAUUAGAUAUUUAGAGAUACAAGGAUCCAGAGUAUCAGAAUAUUAUAUACUGUCUAAAUUUAAACACAACAGGAGGUACCCUUCUAGGUUAGUUGUUCUCCAGAUAUCCUAAAUUGAGAGACAGAAUACUUACUCCUGUUUGAGCCAACAAGCUCUAUUCUCAAUUUUACCUACUAGAUAUCUAUUGUUAUAAGCCAGAGAAUAUAUGUGGUUAAAUGACAUGUUUUCCAUUAAAAAAAGAUUUUUUUUUAAGUUUUUAUUUAUUUUGAGAGAGAGAGCAAGCAGGGUAGGGGCAGAGAGGGAAGGGAGAGAGACAAUCCCAAGCAGGCUCCACACUGCCAGCACAGAGCCUGAUGGCGGGGCUCAAACUCACCAACCAUAAGAUCAUGACCCGAGCCUAAAUCAAGAAUUGGGCACUUAAUUGACCGAGCCACUCAGGUGCCCGCAUGUUUUCCGUUUUUAAUUUAUCUCUUCUUUUUCUUAUUGCUGGGGUUCUUCACUUUUCUUUUUAGGAUUUCUUUUCUUUUUUUUUUUUUAUUUUUUUAUUUUUUAAACUUUUACUUAUUUUUGAGACAGAGAGAGACAGAACAGGGGAGGAUCAGAGAGAGAGGGAGACACAGAAUCUGAAGCAGGCUCCAGGCUCCGAGCUGUCAGCACAGAGCCCGACACGGGGCUCGAACUCACAAACCUUGAGAUCGUGACCUGAGCCGAAGUCAGACGCUUAACCGACUGAGCCACCCAGGUGCCCCUCUUUUUAGGAUUUCUUGUUAAAACCUCAGAAUGGUCACAGAUGUGGUAUUAGGGUUAGUGUGUACUUUGAGACUAAUGAAUGUUUUCAUGUAAUUAAGCAUCUUUUUGUCAAAAUGAUCUAUCUAGUAUUUAUUUUUAAACUGAUUGAUAAGAGGGGUCCCUGGCUGGCUCCAUCAGAGGAGCAUGUGACUCUUGAUCUUGGGGUCAUGAGGUUGAGCCCCAUGUUGGAUGUAGAGAUUACAAAAAAAUAAUCUGAAAAAUUAAAUUUGAAAAAUUAAAAAACAGUGGGGCCUGGGUGGCUCAGUCGGUUAAGUGUCCGACUUUUGCUCAGGUCAUGAUCUUACAGUCAGUGAUUUCGAGUCCCCCACUCACACUCUGUCUCUUUCUCUCUCAAAAAUAAAUGAACGUUAAAAAAUUUUUUUUAAAAAAGAAUUUUUUUAAUGUUUAUUAAUUUUUGAGAGAGAGAGAGAGAGACAGAGUGUAAGCAGGAGAGGGGCAGAGAGAGACAGGCAGAGAGAGAGGGAGACACCAAAUCUGAAGCAGGCUCCAGGCUCCAGGCUCCGAGCUGUCAGCACAGAGCCCCCUGUGGGGCUCGAAGUCAUGACCUGUGAGAUCAUGACCCAAGCCAAAGUCACCCAACCGACUGAGCCACCCAUGUGCCGCAACAUUAAAAAAAUUCUUUAAAAAAUAUUUAAAAUUUGUAAAAAUAAACUGAUUAAUUUUACAUUAGAGUAUGGUACUUUGAGCAUGAACUAGAGUGUCAAGCAGACCUGAGUCCAAAUUCUAGUUCUUCCACUUAACUAAUACUUAACCAACUUAACUAACACUUAAGCUUCAGUUUGUAUGUCUCUAAGAUGAGGUUAAUUUCUACUUAAUAGGGUGAUGAAAUUAAG
ensembl:lncRNA